UCUUCCCGUUCCAGCCGCGGCCGCCCUAGCUCAGCCCUUGGCCUUCCGCUAGCGUCCUAAGGAUCCCAAAGACCGCUGGUCCCUGCGCGCCCUGGCCUCCCGCUUCCCUCCUGCAAGCUGCCCACAGCCCAGCCUGCCCCUGGGAGAACGGCCCUCUGUCUGGCCGAGCGAGGGGCCCGCUUCUGAGCGUGGGAACAGUCCUCCUGGGAGCUGGCCCACCCGCCCCGGGGCCUGCCGGCCACUCCUGGCCCUCUGCCGCCUCUGACCCCUGGGGCGUCCUCGUCCCAAGGCCCAGCACACCCGCCCCUUCCUCUGCGUCGAGACGGCACAGCUCUCUGGGCACCGUCUCCUCUGCGCCUCCGUGGAGUCCUGGCCGUCAGCAGAGGUGGCCAGCUCCCUCUGAGUUCACAAGGCUUCUGGGCCUUUUUGGCUUCGCGACUAUCUCAGAAAUGACACAAAGCCCGAAUACACGAUUCUGCCUGGGAUGGUGUGAGACGACUUUGUGGAGAAUGCGAUUCGGGCAGGUUGCUGGUGUUCCUCAGAUUCACGGACUCGGAGGGUGGCCAUAAAUUUUCAGGUGGAGCAAUGAAAUGCUGACACGCGUGUCUGCUUUAAGCCAGAGCUGUCACCAGUAACCCGCCAGGAUGGGCUUCUUGGCUUCCCCUGCGCCUGCUCCCCAGCUCCUGCGUCGGUGUGCAACUCAGUGUUGGCGAGAGUUGCUUCCACCUCACUGUCACUGGAAGCCGCCCUGCAGAGCGGAUGCUACGCGAGGAGCAAAGGAAAGUCUCCCCUGAAUUGGCCCCGAAGUGCAGGGAGACUAGAAAGUGGGAGAGGGAGAGACUGCAGUAAAAAAA